rnacentral:rRNA from 1 species
GGCUGAAAUUCGCCUUCAUGAAGCCGGAAUUGCUAGUAAUGGCAGGUCAGCAUACUGCCGUGAAUACGUUCCCGGGCCUUGUACACACCGCCCGUCACACCAUGAGAGUUGAGAAUACCCGAAGCCCAUGUCAAAGUGGUCGAAGGUAGGCUUGAUGAUUGGGGUGAAGUCGUAACAAGGUAUC